GUAAGUGUAGUGAAGUAGUGGUUACACGCUCGCCUCGCAUGUCAGAUGUCCGGGGUUCAAAUCCCGGCACGGCCA
rfam:Opisthorchis viverrini opera_v5_102.24, whole genome shotgun sequence.